AUUGUUUCUUGGCCUUUUGGCUAAGGUCCAGCAUAGUGUCUGCAUUAGUUUAAUAACUAAUGUGUCCUUUAACUGAGGACAAUAUAUUAAAUAGAUGUUUGGAACAGAGAGAUGAACAGAUACUUUCUCCAUGCACUGCACACACUGGCCUCGAAGAGGCACUGCACUACCUCUGAAAAUAGGGUAUCCCCU